UUAACACACAUCAACGUCUUCAACAACAAGGUGCUAUAGAACGUCAUUUUCACCGGAUAUAGACAACGGCGACACGUAUAUCUUCGCCAUAGAUAGAUUGACUGAUUUAGCCCUCACCAUUCAGAAUUGCCGCACCAAAAUCUAAGGACUAGGCCAUCACAAAUGUGUUUUGGUCAUUUACCACCUAGCGAGAGACAUUUAGAAAUGCAAUCAAACUAGGUGGAUUCAUUUUGUUGCCAAAAAGCUAGGUGGGUUUUAUUUUUGCAUGAAAAAAAACUAGGUAGAUUCAAGUGCACAUGCAAAAAUAGCUCAUUGCCACUAACAUCUGCCAAACAUGGACGAACCACUACGACAUUAGCCGGCUAUUUUGAAAACCUCGCGAUCACGAGAAGUGUCCUACCUCAUUGGAUUGGUGGCACCACAUUUAUCGCAUGCCUCUCAACACACACUGGCUAAGAAGUCAUGCUACAAAGAGAAACCGAAGAGUCCGAGCAACGAGGGUUGUUGCCAUCCAAGAUGGUAAGUUGAGGUCUCCUUCAAGGACGAUAAUGUGGUAAAAAGGCGGUGGUGGCUUUCGCAAGAAAAAUCUACUGGGUCUUGGGUCUCACGCAUGGACGCCCCGAGGGAUCCGUUUAUGAAAGCAACAUCUAGACACAAUUGAUUGGGACUUGACAUAUUAUCUCUCUUAUUCCUUCCAAAUGGAAAUAUAAGUCAAACCCGGGUUCUUAGGUGUUUGAUUUUACUAGCGAUGGAUAUGUUCUAUGCCUCAAAAUAUAUAUCUUUAGAUUCAUUUUCAUGUCACCUUACAUGAUUUACUAGGUAAAUUAACAAACCUUGUGCCCGGCUUAUAUGUUUGUCCGGAGGGAGCAGCACCAUUUUCCUUCCAGGUGGUCAUGCACCAGAACGAAGGUUAUUGUUUUGUUUCAUGAAAAUCUUGUGUUUUUCUGCGUUUCAACAUGCACUGUACAAAGACAUGGGAAUACGACUUUGCUAAGAAGUACAUCUCUGAUGACAAGGUUUUGUAAACACCCCAGGAGAGUAGUGAAAGGCCAGGGACGGCACAGCACAACUGAGCAACAGGAAAUACGUUUUUCCGAAAAGGAAAGAAUUUAACUUCCUUGGCCCUGCGAGCAGUACAUGCAGGGCGCACAUACACACACCUGUAUAUGUAUAUCUGUAUGAACGCGAUAUGCAUCGCUCAUCGACAGUGCAUGGGGCUCAAAAGAGCCGCGGAACGGCCACGUGUGCACACGAGGACGCCCGGGAUAGGUCCGGUGAAGAUUUCCGGGGAUCUCGUAUAGUACAUGAAUGCCACUAACUGCGAUGUGUACAUGUACAGCAGUCAGUCAGAAACCAGGAGGUGCGUCGAGGCGCGCCGUAGCGGUUGAGAACAAAAACUAACAUUCUGACCCACAGCUGGAUGAUCAAACUGGCCGGAAUAAUCAAUGACAUGUGUGGUGCAGUGCAGGGGAUUCAGAGUUCUAUUUACUUAGUAUUAUAAAAGUAUUGUCCAAUCCCCCUCUGACCUGAAGAGAGAAAGAAAGAAAGAAAAUUCAGAGGUGCCCUGCGAAAACAACAAUCAGUGAGCAAAAUUACCUCGAAAACCCUGUUUAAGCUUAGCCUUGGCAUGCAGUUUUGUCAGCAAACGUAUAAGCAUAUACAGUUUGUCCCAAAGGACAUCUAAUUGCUUGUUGUAAUUUGUGCCAUUCACCAACUUUCGCCGCCACACCGAUCAACUGAUUUAAGGCUGUCCAUAGUGGAAGUAACUAAGGUACUAUCAUAUACUUGGGACUAGCAAACAUACUGAUGUGACAGAUAAUUAAAGAAGAGAGAAAGGAUUAGAGUGACAUAGGUAGAUACAGUAACAUGUUAAAUGCUAUGUUACUAUGUGUCAUGCAUGUCAAUAAAUAAGGUCAUCUAUGAUACUAUUUUAUGAUAUUAUGCACUAUGAAGGUAGUAUCAUACAAUACUAUCAUAUGCAUGAUACUACUAUAUAAUACUCCCCACUAUGACCAGCCUAAUAGCAAUACAUAAUUACUACUCUACAUGGAAAUUUAGCGCUGAUGAUUAUGUAGACUUGUUUGUAUAUGUACUAACAAAAUAUAAAUUAUAUGAUACAGAAAAAUAUAUGUUACUGGAUUUGUAUUGAAAAGAGAUUUUGCAUAAUAUAAUUUUUAUGACAUAUAGUUUACAUUUUAUAAUUCAAAUGUGCAGUUAAACUUGAGCUCAAAAUAAGAGGGGUCUAAUAAAUCUGGACCGAGGUAGUAGUUAUGUAGUACUAUCAAUUUGACUUUUGCGCACAGCUGGGCAAAGCUAAUUUUUUUUUAUGAUUACCUGACGUAAACAUACACAAAAACAAUUGGCACAUAAUUUUUUUGUUUUUCUAAACAAGGUUGGCACAUAAAUCAAAACCAAAGAUCAUAUAGUGUACCAUCAUAGGUCACUAAUUAUUUAUGCAAAUAUGCAAUAGCUCGCAACGGACGACACACACAACGUCAUCUAAGAAUGUACAUAUACACGAUUAGAUACCAAUCAUACCAUAGCUAUACGUUUAUAUAGUUAAAUAAGAUCCUAGUAUUGCCUAGUGCACGUAUGUAUACAGAAGACAAACUACAUGACCACGUACGGUAUCAAUCUUUUAAGCAUCAUUGUACUGUAGAUCCGCGACAAAGAAAUCGUCUAGCUAAUUAAAGCGACGGAGAUAAUCAAUUCAAAUACGUAAGCAUAAUUUUGUAACUAAUUAACCCCUGAUCCUUGACCGGCCAAAUCAACAUGCUGAAGUUUGCGCCCAUGGCGUCCGGCAGGCGCUGUCAUCAGCCGCAUUUCUGACUGUUGUUUAGAUUAAGUAUGUCAACGAACUUAGUUCUAGCAUUCUUGAUUUAAAACUGACAGUGAAGCUGAUUUGUUCCGUUACAUAAAGUUCCACCCUAGGAUGAUGAUAAAUCUGACGUAUAUGGUUCUGAAAUUCAGGAAGGAUACGUAAACAGUGUGUGCCCUUGAAAAGUAACUAUUAAUAUUUGAAACCAAUGGCCGGCUGCAAGAUAAUUUUCUUAACAUGAAGGGAUUAUUUGUUGAAAGAUGUGAUAUACUAUACAUGAAUGACCAUAUACGUUUGUCAUUAUCUACCUUCUUAUUAGUUUGCCGCACUUUUCAACACCUUCUUUUAAUCUUUUAUACGUGUUGCUAGUUGCGAGCAUAUACAUUUUGAAGCUGCAACAAUAAGAUCUUCGCAUAAUUAAUUAGUAUAGAUAUCUAAAACUAACUAAAUUGGCAAUGAAAAGUGGCCACCUACCUAAAAGAUUAGUAAGGUUACUCUUAAGCUAAACCAACAACUUAGGUCUUCUUGGUUCACAAGAUUGUGAAAAUAUAGGAUAGAGAAAACGUAUGAUCAAGGUGCCAUGCCAUAUUAAUUCCUACGGUAAUUGAAGACACAUGAUUGAUUAUAUAAUAGAAGUUGUUUGUCUAGACGACAUAAAAACACAUGAAUAUUCCCAAAAGAUUAGGCACAUAAGAUAGUUGUGAUAGAAAUAACGGAAAACAAAAUCCUUAGGUUAAUUCGAAUAGGAAUUUCCUUUAGAUUUUCAUACAAAGCAGACCACAGAAAAAGCCUAUAUUUUUUUUUUGCAGAAUAACCCCGUGAUUUGUAACUCUAUAAACCAAAAGUUAUACAGAAAAAAAUCGGAAGGAACGAAAUCCUCCAAAAUUCGUAUGCUAUUUCUUUGAACCAAAGAGGCCCUAAACGUUGCAUUGACUUGGUUGUGACCAGGUCGUUAAGUACCAGCUUUGACAGUGAUUACUCAUCACUAAUGACCAAAGUAACGACAAGCCCACAUCACACUUGCUCGAUUUGGUAUUACUGCAUUUCUUAUUCAAGAAUAGUGAUUGGAAGUUGCCUCUUCGGUUGAGAGGUUUGUGUCAUAACAAAAUUCCAAUGACCACGGCAUCUAAAUUAUCAAUAUUUUAUGGAUCAAGUACUAUAUUAUAUGCUUUAAGUACGUGCUCUCUCUGCUUCCACACGAUUUAAAAAUGUCCAGGAUUGGCAAGAGGACGAACUCAUGUCUUUAUAAAAUGCAAGGCAUUUGUGUACGGCCUUGGGUAAAGACAGCUUUUGUGGGAGACACUUGGCCGGCUGACAAGACGUACAAAACUAUUUUGAUGCCAGAGGCACUCCUAGAUAAUAAUAUUAUCACUAAGAAAGAAACAUCUAGAGUUUAAUUCAAUAGUACAAUGGACGUACGAGCUUGAUUCAAACAAAUGCUCACAAUUUGUGUACCUGGAGUUGACAUAUAUUAUCUUUUCUGCAGGCGCAGAAGAUGGCAACGUGGUGGCUUCAAACAUUUUGUAGCCUGCACUAGCCCACAAUUUUGGAAAGGUUUUGAGUUUACUUUGUGCUAAAAUAUAUUUGUUGACAUUUUCCACGUACCGCAUUCAUCGUUGAUUUGUUCAUCCGACGUGCUGAAAUUCCGACCUGGAACCGCCCCGAACGUACUUGAUGCUGUUACUUAUCAAGUUAAUUAUAUUUCAUCAUCUAUAACAAGUACUGCUAAGCAGCAUAGUACUACACCCCGCAAAGAACAGAAAAAAAUGAAGCAUAGCAGUACUAUCAAUGUUGAAUUUAGCGUGCUGGAUUGACUCAAGCACGCUAUGUCAACGAAUGAUCGGUCGGCAGUUGUUUCCGUUUGUCAAACCGUUUGCGUUCAUACAUCCCUAAUCAUGAAGGAUUCAGAAUGUGUGCAGAAAGUCUUCCCGUGGCUGACUAACAAAGGUCAACCAAGGUGCAGAGAACAAGAGAGCAGAAGCAAAGCCGGAUCCGUUGUUUCCAAGGGGGGAACCGUUCGCAUCCUGUGUCCAGGUUGAUGAGAUAUCAUUUCUUGUGCACCCGCUAAAUCUUUCGGUAAAGACGUGUCAAACAUUAUGCCAGCAUCAAUGAAUUUGGAAGGGAGGUCAAAACCAGGGAUAGACAGAUGAUUCAUCUGCCAUAUGCAUGCAACUCCAGAACUUGUAAUCCUUGGGGCCAAACACCAUGUAACGGCAUCACAUCAACAGAAGCAAGCAACAAGAAAACAUAUGUUAUAUCCUCGUUUUGCCUUGAUACAUCGCCAACAAAUUUUAGAGGCCAAACAUCACGUCCAUGACUUUGGACAGGACCGAUUUCGCGGGCGAAGCGAUGGCUCCAGGCGCCCCACGGUUGCUCUCGUUGCCGUUUUGCAAGGAAUUGUUCGGCAAAGGCGCCAGCGUGUUCCUGGUGGCAAAACCGCUCGGUGCAACAGCCUGCGACGGAAAUGGAACCGACAUGCCGCCGUUGUAGGUGUCAUUGGUGUUUUCGUUCAGAUACGGGCGCUGCCAUGGAUCCACUUGCUUCACCCCAAUGAUAAGAACACUGUUUAGCUGCUGACCAUGCUUGGCGAGCGCUUUCUGCGCAUCAUGACGGCUCUGAAACACAUAAAAGAAAAUACAAAUCAGCAAUGAGACAGAUGCACUACCAACAAGGCGCCGAACUGGGGCCUUAAAGUGGAAUCUUGCAUACAUCUACAAACUGUUGGCAUGUUUCAAGUUUCAACUAGAGUACAUUAGCAAGGCCCCACUUCAAAUAAUUGGUGCUAGGAAAAGCUUAUCACAUCCAAGGCACUGUGUCAUAGUAAAGGACAAUCAAACUACAGGGCAAUAUUGACCAUUGUGUCCAUCAUCACUUCAUAUGAUAUGCUGAUAUAGUAUAGUAGGUGCACAGAAGGAACUGUUUUGUUACUUACGGUCUGUUUCAGUCUUCAUUUCAUUUUAAUUAUCAGUUCAUAAACAAAUACAUAAGCUAGCAAAAAAUAUGAUGUAUUUAGCCGAUUCUGUGAUUUUGAUACUCCCGAUACACCCAUAUGUUUCAGACCAUCAAAGUCGUUAAAAAUUCUGGAAAAACACUGACACUGCAUGGAUCUAUCUUGUCACAAAAUUUCAAAUGCAAGCUCAAUACGUAGCUCAAGAAGCACAAAUGACAGUGCUGACAGUGAUAAUGGGCCAAAAAGUCACAAGCCCAAUUUGAAUGAACAUCUUCAUCUUUUCUUGUUUUUUAUGACUUUUGAAGUGGUGUCUGCAGGCAGAGUACCAGAGCACUCCAUGUUUUUGAGGAUACACCCUCACGCACAAUGAUAUUUAUCCUAUCAGAUUACUUUCAGGCUAAUAUUUUCAUUAUGAGUAGGGAAAAACAGAGAUCUGUAUAUUAUAAGUAUCAGUGCUCAAACAAUUAAGUACAAGUUUACCUGAUACAAGAUAUGCAUCCAGUUCGCAUCCCUCGGACCAGUAACGUGUCUCAAGACUAAACCACAUUUCUCAAAUUCUCUCAGUACAAAGUUGGUAUCAGCCGGCAGAAAACUGGCAGAAACAAGGCAAGUAGCAUGAUCAGACAAAGAAUACAUAAGCACAUUUUAAUCCGGACAGGAAAAUUAACCAAUGAACUAGAUCAUGCAUCGGAGAGGAUCUGCUUCAAACGACAUAGCUUAAGAAAAUAUACAUUCAAGUACAACAAUAAUAAUCAUGUCUGUAUAUCAGAAGCUGAACAGAUGCAGGGAUAUAACUGGCACCAUGGGGAUGCCAUCUUAUUGAUAUGUUCAAGAAACGUCUCCAUAUGCAACGAUAUCAUAGGUGUAUCCAACGCCUAGAUGCAGAACUUACAUAAGGUUCCUAAAACAAUUUAUUGCUAGAUUACCAGCUGUUCUCAUUGCUCAACCUCCUAAAGUAAGGUGAGGCGAGGCGCCUAACCCCCCGCCUUACCUUUGAAGCAUGUAAGGCGAGGCGGUAAGUCGAAGGCAACGUCUUAGAUAUAGAAGGAACAGAGAAAUCAAGCAGUUUAACACAUAAAAUGCAAGGGAAAAUAAGAAAGACCGAGAGAUGGGCCACUACCUAUGCACUUCAGUUCCCUGUGGCCCAAAACACCAUAUAGUAGCUAUAUACUCCUACCGUGGGGAGCGAAUGAGGAGCACUCGGUGCUCCACCCCCCUAUAUUAAAAAUAAUUUAGUAAUUCAAAAAAAGAGUAAAAUAGUCACAGAACUUUUUUAGAAUCCAAUAUGGCUAGGUAAUGUACUCGUAUAAAAAUUUGGCUAAGUAAUUAUUCACGUUGACUUAGGGCAAAAAAACAACAACAUUAUGACGACAAUAUAGCAUGAAUAGUACUUUUAUCUAGUUUUUUUGGGAAAUCUUUGAUCCCGGAUGCAAUGAAAGUAAUUCCCUGUUUAAUCUUUUUAUACGAGUGCAAUAGUUGGUCAUGUUUGAUUCUAUAAAAAGUUCCGGGAUUUUUUUGACUUUUUUUCAAUUACUAAAUUAUUUUUGAAUAUAGGGGGGCGUAGCACCUGAGAACUCCUAUGCACUUUCGUCCCGUGACCUAAUUCCACUAUCCUCACUCCUUCCUCACCACAGCCACCGCACACCUUUUGCUCUCUUUCCUCGUUGUAGCAGCACACAACCCUAAAACUCAUCCUUUUUGAUCAUGACCCUAGCCUUCUCUGAUUCUCCCUCACCGCAGCAUCCCUUCUUCCCCAACAGCAGAGUAGAUCCGGCAAGGGAAGGCAACAGGAACAGGGGAAGCAGGCGCAUAAAGGGAUGCUCGCCGGAGUGUUGGGGUUUGGUGGGGUCAUCGUCUUCAAGGCCCAGAAGCAGCCACAAUGAUAAUGCCGCGAGGAACAGGCGGUAGCAGAGACCUCUGACAACAGUGGACCUUUCACUGAAGUAGCCAUACAUUUCAUAUCUAAGGCAGGGUGGACGCCUUACCAUCCCGGGGCGCCUCAGCGCUUAGGCGACACAUUAAAAACAAUGCUACCUACUUUCAGAUUAGCUAAGUUUCGACUAACUGUAGGUAUCUGUAACAGGAGCACAAAUGAUGAAAUGAGAAAGCAUAGAAAACCAUCAUUCUUUGGCAGAAAUAAACCCAUCGAAUAUGGACAUUAAAUCACUCCCACUCACACAAGGUCGCAGAAGAAUACACAUAGCCAAUAGUAAGCUAUCACAAAGCCAACAAAUGUGCAAGGGUACCAAAUCGUAAAUAUACCGUGUAACUGUAUAAUACAGACAGCAUGUGUUAAUCAGGAAAUGCAGUCCAUAGCCUAAUACACAUGUGAAAUAACAAGAGAACUUUAACAGUUCCUCAUCAGACACAGCGGGCAGGGUUGUUUUGUAACAAUUGGCACAUAAAGCUUGAAAAUGAAUAGCUCUCAGACUAUAAAAGCCAGAAAAUAAAUUUCAUCAAUCACAAAUACUAAGAGGUUUCUACAAAGUGCACACGUCGAUGGCUCGAACCACCAAAAUAUAGUCUAGUCUAGAAAAUUAGCGAAACUGAAUUGGUUAAUGUGCUCACGAGUUCGGUGAUUUGGUCAGAGUCAGCAAUAGUAUAAUAAUGGUACUAUGUCCUAAAAUUAUCAUCAUUUUAAGCACCAUGGUGUUUUUUUAGCUAAUUUCAUAUAGCUAAUCUUGGUAUCAAAAACACAAUUAGAUCACGGUAUGUCGAAACUGCAUCACCCAAUGACCACAUGGUUCUGUCUGAUUGCAUACAACUCCUACAGGUAUACCGCAUACAAGACAUACACGAGUCUCCAUUUUUUGUACACUGAUCCACUUCAAACACUUACAAAUCACUUAAACAACCCUACCUAUAAUUGCAACAACACCUAAAGUAUAGACAUACACAACUAUAUGAACCCAACGUCACAAAUUCCAUCAUAAUCUAGUGCAUUCUUCAUAUCGAGUCAGCAAGUGGAGAGGGGGACAUACCCGAAAACGGUGACCCAUUCCUCCUCGUCGACCCGGCCAGUGGAGAGCACCGAAUCCCUCGGCAUCUCCGGACGCGCGACCUCCCUGGGCGGCGGCAGCGUGAUCAGCGCCACCUGCUGCUGCUGCUGCUGCCCGGACGCCGUCGGCGGAGACUGCUGCUGAUGUACGACUCCGUCGACCGGGGAACUAUCCCUGGCCUUCUCCUCCCUCGAGGGGGUCCACCACGCCGCCGGGGAGGGGGAGCCGUUGGAGCGCUGCGGGGUGGAGAAGAACCCCCCGCGAGCGGGCGGAGGCGACGGGGACAUGGCCUCCUGCGGGGGCGCGUGGGGCGGCGGGGAGGGGGAGUGGCGGGACAGGUCAUCGAGGGAGAGCAGCGGGGGAGGCGGCGGCGGGGUGGAGGCCUGGGCCUCGCGGCGAACGGACGCCGGGGGCAUGCGGAAGGACGAGGAUACCGGGGACGAGAGGUCCCGCAGGAACGGCGACUGGUGCCGCCGGUGGUCCGGCCUGGUGGCGCUCAUCGCGGCGGCGAGGAGGAGGAGGAGCAGAAACCCUAGCGACACGAUCGACUGUCUGUCUGAGUGUGGCUUUGGGUUUAUCGACGCGAGCGAAGGCGUCAGCAACGGAGGCUCACCGACUGACUUGUGGACCCGUGACUGGUGGGGCCUACUUGAAGGGAAACACACGAGACGAGAGGUUACUGCGAAGGCGUAACUGUUUCCGGGUCAAAAAGUUGAAGCAGGCAAAAAUGGAGGUUGCGACGGCGACGGAGGCGUCGGCGCCGGCGGCGGGCGGCGGGGCGAGCAGGCGGGGGCACCCGUUCCCGUGGCUCGACGUGGCCAUCUCGGAGCCCUACUACUUCCUCCACCUCAUCGCCUUCUUCUCCUACUUCGCGGCCCGCACCACGGCGCCCUCGGCCGAGGACGACGCCGAAUUCCACAGCCGCCUCAUCCGACGGGUGAGAUCCCGCGGUCACCGAUUCUAGAUCCGGAACGUGCCGUCACGCCGGUCCUUUGAACUGCUUUGGCUCACGCGGAUCGGCGCCUGUGUCUGUUUCUGCAGGAGAUCCAGGCGGUGCUCGUCUUCCUGGUGCUCUUCACGGUGAAGGUACGGUGUUUAAUGACCACCAUUAGUGUUUCCGAGUGAAAUUUCCCCUGUACCAUACUGGAAUUCGGCCAUUCGACUGGUUGGAGUACUGAGCUGCGUGUGAAAUAGAGCUGGAAAUGUACAAUUUCCUAGCUAUGCUAGCGUGACCAUAAUGCCACUACGAGAUAUGAUGCUCAUUAGUCAUGUUUCUUUUUUUUAAUUUUUUACCUAUGCAUUCGGGGUCAGUUAGGUCUGAAACGCAGGUCUCUCAAAAGCACUUCUAUGAUUUGUAUGGAGAAUGAAGCCUGUAAUUUGCUGAUCACAUAAUGUAAUGCUUACCAGAUUGUGAAGGAGGAACACUGGGAAACAUUCAUCGCUGAUUCAUUGCUCUAUGCAAAGGUGUGUUAGUAUGGAAUGGCUGUGUUCUCUUGAUUUGUUAUCAACUUAUCAUUAUUUUGGGUUUUUAUGUAACUUCUAGGCAAGGGUAAGCCAGGUUACUUAAAAACAUUGUUGUUCCCUACUACGGUUGAUAUUGCUAAAUAUGUUAAUGCUUCUUAUAUGUUCUUGUUUUGCUUUGCAGGGCCUCUUGUUGGUGGUUACUUUUGUUAUUGAUUAUUGGUUGACUGUCGGCUACUUACUGGGAUUUAUUGGUAUGUUUUAAUUUAUCUUUGGGUUUUAUUGGUGUGCAUUCUUAUCAACUGCAAAGUAAAAUGCCUAUCGUGUUUUAUAUCACCCCCUUGACAAUACAUUCAAGUCUUGAGCACUUAAUGGAGAAUUUCCUUCUUCUCUGAAUCUCCUACAGUGUUCAUUCUGUGGUUCAUAUUUUUGCUGGAUCUGUAUUCAUGCAAUGCUAUUUUUAAUGCUUGAUUAAACUGCUCUCAAUCAUUUUCCAACACAACUUGUAGGUUAUAUUAGUUUAUGUAGCAGUCUCUUAGUUUGAUCGAUGUUAUGAUGUAACGUUUGUACCCUUGUCCUGCAUACUGAAUCUGUCUAUUACUUAGGCUGUGUUUGGUUGGGCUUCCAUAGCCAACUUCUGCUUUGCAAAAGCAGAAUCUGAACCAAAGGGGUGGUAGCUCACAGCAGAUUUUGAAAAGCCACAACUUCUCGGUAGUGUAGUUUUCGCAUCAGCUCGCAGCAGGCUCGAACCAACUUCUCGGCUGUGAGAAUCAGAUUCUGGGCAAAAAUUACCCACGCUGCCACUCCCAAGUCAAUACCGAUUCAUUUCUUUUCCCUCUCAGCCCUGACCAAACAGCACUGACGACCUCCUGCUCCCUUUUCCUCCCCGCACGGGCUAGGGUUCCUAGCCGCUGCCGCCACUCCGGCCGGCCCUUUGCCGUGGUGCUGCUCGUCAGGUCGGACCCUUCGCCGCCCCUCCAGGCUUCGUGCAUCGAGCCCUUUCCAUCCCUCCACCCCUCGAGCAAGCCCCAGCUCCGGUUGCCUGCGUCCCCCAUCUCCGACUUCCCUCCCGCGCCUAGCAUCCCAGAAACACUGACGCGGCCGUCGGCGUCAAGAUUCGUGGUGAUCGCCUCUUGUUCCGUCCUAGGUCGUCGCUGCCCUAGUUUGACGCCUCAUCUUCUUGCAGACGUCCAAGCUAGCCGGCUGCGGGCAAGCUCUGAUCCAGUCAGCUAUGUUUGUGAUCUGCUUGGCGUGCUCUACUGCAGCUGGCUGUGCUUGCUGUGUGUUAAUUUCAGAGAUAGAUUUGGCAGUUUGAGAGACAGAAAACUGUCUGGUAAUUUCAGAGAUAUGACACUGUCUAGUACAGUAGUAUGUGUCCACGAUUAGUCAUAUUACAUACAUAUAUGGUAUACAUAGGUAGGUCGUUAGUCAUAUUCUUACAGUCACGAUUUAUAAUAAAAUCACAUAAAAUAAGUAAACUCACAUCUUUUAGCUUAAAUUUUUGGGUUACAAUCCCGUGAUAAACAUUGUAAUUAUUUUCAUGAAAAUAGGUCAAUAUGCUAACUAUUCUACAAUUUCAGUUAGUACGGAUUGAUGACUUUCACUUAAUCCAGGGCAAUACGGACAAUUCACAGACAAAGCUACAGUUUGACAGUUGUUUCAACCAAACAGCUUCCAACUUUUCCACAGCUGAAAGUUCACAGCAGCUUUCUCACAGCUCACAGCUCACAGCAGUUUUUUCAGAAUUUGCAGCUCAACCAAACACAGCCUUACACUGUGUCCCUGAUCAUCAAACACCCAUCCAAGUUUGCAAUACGAAUCUGUAGCCAUGAGAUUAGUAGCACUAGACUAUAAAAGACUGUGAAUGAAUUAAUAUUCAAUAACUGAAAUUGUUAAACUGCAAUUUUAUUGAUGUGGAAUUCUUCUUAAAACAUUACUCAGUCCGUAAAGAAAAAUAA
rnacentral:lncRNA from 1 species